rnacentral:rRNA from 1 species
UACAGAGGUCUCAAGCGUUGUUCGGAUUCAUUGGGCGUAAAGGGCGCGUAGGCGGCGGGGUAAGUCGGGUGUGAAAUCUCAGAGCUCAACUCUGAAAUGGCACUUGAUACUGCUCUGCUAGAGGACUGGAGAGGAGAUUGGAAUUCACGGUGUAGCAGUGAAAUGCGUAGAUAUCGUAAGGAAGACCAGUGGCGAAGGCGGGUCUCUGGACAGUUCCUGACGCUGAGGCACGAAGGCCAGGGGAGCAAACGGGG